AUAAUUCAAAUUCAACGUGUAUCAUCUUCCAAAGCGUUUCAUUUUCCAAAGUAUUCAUUUUCAAUUCAUUCAUUCUCUUAUUCCAACCAUCCAUGCCACUUUAUCUGUUCCCUUUUCAUCUUCAAGAUUCAUGAUCAACCUUUUGUCAUUCUCUCUCUCUCAUUGGCUCUCUCUCUCUGCCAAUGAACCAUAACCAUACAUGAAGAAAAUUUCAAUCUCUCCCAUGAAGAAAAUUUCCUUACACAGAACUAAAGUUGACAUUGGGUUGUUUGGGCCUAUUAGGAAUUAAGGUAUGGAGAUUUCAAUUGCCUAAUAUAUCAUAGCCUACAAUUAAUUAAUUCCUCCUCUUUUUUUUUUGGUUUUUGUUGAUCUCCUUUUUUGGAAUUUAUAAUUUUAUCACUGAUUGUAGUGUUCUUCUAAUGUUGUAUGUGUUCAUAUAUAUGAGUUAUUCAACUCACAUUUUUCUGAUGUCAGAGAAGAGAAUUUCGACGCCCGGUUUGGUCUGAGGCAAGUAGACUGCUAGAGUUUGUGUUCUGCAGCAAAUAUGUUGUGGUUAUGGUUUAGUUCCUUUGAAACAUUGUGAUGUAUCGGGGUUUCCUUAAUUAAAAGCCUUUUAUGUUUUGUAGUUUUUCACUUCUUUGUCCAUAGUACCUCCUCCUGUAUUGCUAAUAUUUGUUGUAGUAUCUUGCCUGACACUAUGUAUUACCUGCUAUUUAUUUAAUAUAUAUGCUUUUUUUUU
rnacentral:lncRNA from 1 species